UACAGCGAAACUGCGAAUGGCUCAUUAUAUAAGUUAUCGUUUAUUUGAUAGUACCUUACUACUUGGAUAACCGUGGUAAUUCUAGAGCUAAUACAUGCUAAAAAUCCCGACUUCGGAAGGGAUGUAUUUAUUAGAUUAAAAACCAAUGCCCUCUGGGCUCUCUGGUGAUUCAUGAUAACUUCUCGAAUCGCAUGGCCUUGCGCCGGCGAUGGUUCAUUCAAAUUUCUUCCCUAUCAACUUUCGAUGUUUGGGUAGUGGCCAAACAUGGUUGCAACGGGUAACGGAGGGUUAGGGCUCGACCCCGGAGAAGGAGCCUGAGAAACGGCUACUACAUCCAAGGAAGGCAGCAGGCGCGCAAAUUACCCAAUCCCGAUUCGGGGAGGUAGUGACAAUAAAUACUGAUACAGGGCUCUUUUGGGUCUUGUAAUUGGAAUGAGUACAAUUUAAAUCCCUUAACGAGGAACAAUUGGAGGGCAAGUCUGGUGCCAGCAGCCGCGGUAAUUCCAGCUCCAAUAGCGUAUAUUAAAGUUGUUGUGGUUAAAAAGCUCGUAGUUGAACCUUGGGCCUGGCUGGCCGGUCCGCCUCACCGCGUGUACUGGUCCGGCCGGGCCUUUCCCUCUGUGGAACCCCAUGCCCUUCACUGGGUGUGGCGGGGAAACAGGACUUUUACUUUGAAAAAAUUAGAGUGCUCCAGGCAGGCCUAUGCUCGAAUACAUUAGCAUGGAAUAAUAAAAUAGGACGUGCGGUUCUAUUUUGUUGGUUUCUAGGACCGCCGUAAUGAUUAAUAGGGACAGUCGGGGGCAUCAGUAUUCAAUUGUCAGAGGUGAAAUUCUUGGAUUUAUUGAAGACUAACUACUGCGAAAGCAUUUGCCAAGGAUGUUUUCAUUAAUCAGGAACGAAAGUUAGGGGAUCGAAGACGAUCAGAUACCGUCGUAGUCUUAACCAUAAACUAUGCCGACUAGGGAUCGGACGAUGUUAUUUUUUGACUCGUUCGGCACCUUACGAGAAAUCAAAGUGCUUGGGCUCCAGGGGGAGUAUGGUCGCAAGGCUGAAACUUAAAGAAAUUGACGGAAGGGCACCACCAGGGGUGGAGCCUGCGGCUUAAUUUGACUCAACACGGGGAAACUCACCAGGUCCAGACACAAUGAGGAUUGACAGAUUGAGAGCUCUUUCUUGAUUUUGUGGGUGGUGGUGCAUGGCCGUUCUUAGUUGGUGGAGUGAUUUGUCUGCUUAAUUGCGAUAACGAACGAGACCUUAACCUGCUAAAUAGCCAGUAUUGCUUUGGCAGUACGCCGGCUCU
rnacentral:rRNA from 1 species